UACGUAGGGGGCGAGCGUUGUCCGGAUUUAUUGGGCGUAAAACGCUCGUGAGGUGGACCAUGCGAAGUCGGAUGUGAAAUCUCCCGGCUCAACUGGGAGGGGUCAUUCGAUACUGGCAGGCUCGAGGCCGGUAGGGGGAAGCGGAAUUCCCGGUGUAGUGGUGGAAUGGCGUAGAUAUCGGGGAGGAACACCAAGUGGCGAAGGCGGCUUCCUGGAC
rnacentral:rRNA from 1 species